rnacentral:lncRNA from 1 species
UCCUAUCUUGGGCCGGAUAGAUUGGGCCCAUUUAUCAGUAUAAUCUAUUGGGCUUUUAUUAUUAAGCCAUGGGACUCUUUGAGCUCAUUUAUUGUGUCAACUUUAUUUAAUUCUAUUGGACCGGGUCAGACCAGUGGAUCGACCCAUUAGAUAUUUUAAUAUCUGUUACUUUGACUUGUGAUGAUGAAAAAGCAUGACAGUUGACCAAUCCUCCUGCCAUGCAUUAAUGUGGAUGAGAUCAUAACCGGCCGGCGGGAGAAAACAGUGGCCAAAAGCAGUAGAUAAACCUGAUAUAGUCGGCAGGGUCCAUCAGAUCAGAGGGGGUGUCAGGUAGUAGUGGGUGGCACAAUAAUCCAAGCAAAAGUAAUAUAACUUAGCAAGG